GUGCUCACUUCGGCAGCACAUAUACUAAAAUGGAAACAAUACAAAGAAGAUUAGCAUGGCUCCUGUGCAAGGAUCAUAUGCAAAUUUGUGAAAUUUUCCAUGUAUUU
ensembl:snRNA U6 U6 spliceosomal RNA